GAAAGAUCCGAUGGUGGAAUUUAUUCACCAAGGGUGAAAAACCUAGAUGACAGCAUUCAGAAAUGCAAUGAGUGAGCACAGGAGCACGGACAUGGGGGAUUUCCAGUCAGCCUUGGCUACGGAGACCUACACGACCGGAAAUGGGAUCUUUUUCUUUUUUAAGGAGAAGAAACUCAGUAUUCUGCCAGAAGCCAAGAGAGAUAACAAGUAGCGGAUAUGGUACAGAAAAAGAGAUUUGCUGUUUCAGAAGUUUGAUGCUGUAGAUAUAUGAUCUCCGGUGAAAAGGCAGAACACUAAGGCAAGAAUGCUGAUAGGGUAGUGGUGUGAUACUGCAUCUAAAGAAGUUGUUCAGGAAACUUUCUUUCUGGCAUUGGAAGUGAAAUGUUCAACUGAGAGCUAGGAUGGGAGAGAAUAUUUUAAAAUGUGAGGAGACAAAAGGAGGCUGUAAAUAUGAAUUUAGAAGAAUGCUGGAGUAAAUGAACAAGUGAUGCUCAGAACAUUUUCCUGGCUGCCUAAGGUUUAUGGAUCCAAAAUGAGUCCAGUUAUUGUGACUGUAUUUUUUCCCUGUCUAGUGGCUUCUAAGAAGAGAGCUCAGAAUAGAGAGUGAGGCCCAAAGUUUAGAGUAUGAGGAGGCAGAUACAAGGUGCUCAGGGGAGUAAGUACAAUAAUUAUUAGUGUUUAAGUGAUUAUGAGGGCUGGAAAAUCACAAGAUCUACAAGAUGAGUCAGCUUGCAGGGAACUCAAGAAAGCCAAAAUUUCAGUCUGAGUCUGAAGGCACAAAGAAAGAUGAUGUCUCAGUCCAAAACCUGUCAGAAAAGUAAAAUUCUAUUUGGGCGUGUCCCAAUUAGAUGAGACCUACCCAUGUUAGAAAGAACAGUCUACUCAACCGACUAAUGAAAAUAUUAAUCUCAUCCAAAAUCUCAUUACAGC
rnacentral:lncRNA from 1 species